rnacentral:rRNA from 1 species
AUGCCUACGCAGCUCGACCAAGUUUUUCACCUACCCGCCGUUGAAACAGCGGGUGGCAACAUCUCCGCUGUCAAUACUGCCUCUUUCCAAGUAAUCUCCUUCAACCACCUCACCUUCUCGUCAACAUUGAUUUUGCGAUCCAAUGCAAGUGACCGCAACAUAGCCAUCACCAACAUCUAUGCCCCCUCCUCCCGCGCCCUCAAGCAAUCUUUCCUCGAUGAGUUGCUCGCUAUCUCACAACCAGACGACUCACCCUGGCUACUUGUGGGAGAUUUCAACCUCCUCCGGUACCCCUCCGACAAAAAUAAUGACGCGUUUAGACAAUCCGAAGCCACUGCUUUUAACCGAACUCUUGAUGAACUCACCCUCAUUGAACUACCACUUCUUGACCGCCAAUACACUUGGUCCAAUAAUAGAACAACACCCACCCUAGAACAUAUCGACCGUGCCUUUUUUAACUUAGCCUGGUCAGACGCCUUUCCAAACUCUUCCCUCUCCUCCCUCACGCGAUUCACAUACGACCACGUACCCCUCCUCAUUCACGUCACGACAACGAUCCUGUGA